CAAUAGCGUAUAUUAAAGUUGUUGCAGUUAAAAAGCUCGUAGUUGGAUUUCUGGUAGGAGCGACCGUUCCGAACUUGAUUGUUCGUGUAUUGAGUUGUCUCCAGCCAUCCUUGUGGAGAACUUUUCUUGCAUUAAUUUGUAGGGAUUGGGACCCGCAUCGUUUACUGUGAAGAAAUUAGAGUGUUUAAAGCAGGCAAUCGCUUGAAUACAUUAGCAUGGAAUAAUAAGAUAGGACUUUGGUACUAUUUUGUUGGUUUGCAUACCAAAUUAAUGAUCAACAGGAACAGUUUGAGGAUAUUCGUAUGAACAUGUCAGAGGUGAAAUUCUUGGAUUUUGAUCAGACGAACUACUGCGAAAGCAUUUAUCAAGGAUGUUUUCAUUAA
rnacentral:rRNA from 1 species